CCGGAUCUUCCUCUGGAUCCGUAUGUGAUUGGUCUGACGGGCGGCAGCGGGUCGGGAAAGAGCUCUAUAGCGCACAGACUGGAGGCUCUCGGCGCCGUGAAGAUUGACUGCGAUCAGCUCGGUCACGAGGCCUACCUGCCGGGAACAUCCGCUUAUCAUAAGGUCAUCCAGGAGUUCGGCCCAGAUAUUCUUAAUGAGGAUAAGAGCAUUAACAGACGAGUACUGGGUGGAAAAGUGUUUGGAAACCAGGAGCGUCUGAAAGCUCUGACAGAUAUCGUGUGGCCGGAGAUUGCUCUGCUGGUGAAGAAAAGAAUAGAACAAGCAAAAGAACAGGGUGAGCGUGUCUGUGUGGUGGAUGCGGCCGUGUUGCUCGAGGCGGGAUGGACAUAUCUGGUGCAUGAGGUUUGGGUGGCCACCAUCCCAGAGGAAGAGGUACUAAAGCUUUAAUAUAGA